rnacentral:rRNA from 1 species
GAUGAACGCUGGCGGCGUGCCUAAUACAUGCAAGUCGAGCGAACAGAUGAGGAGCUUGCUCCUCUGACGUUAGCGGCGGACGGGUGAGUAACACGUGGAUAACCUACCUAUAAGACUGGGAUAACUUCGGGAAACCGGAGCUAAUACCGGAUAAUAUAUUGAACCGCAUGGUUCAAUAGUGAAAGACGGUUUUGCUGUCACUUAUAGAUGGAUCCGCGCCGCAUUAGCUAGUUGGUAAGGUAACGGCUUACCAAGGCGACGAUGCGUAGCCGACCUGAGAGGGUGAUCGGCCCCACUGGAACUGAGACACGGUCCAGACUCCUACGGGAGGCAGCAGUAGGGACUCUUCCGCAAUGGGCGAAAGCCUGACGGAGCAACGCCGCGUGAGUGAUGAAGGUCUUCGGAUCGUAAAACUCUGUUAUUAGGGAAGAACAAAUGUGUAAGUAACUAUGCACGUCUUGACGGUACCUAAUCAGAAAGCCACGGCUAACUACGUG